CUUGCAAAUUCAGGUGUGCUGUCCACAAUCAGUGCACGUGUUGCUAGUAGAAGACCUACAGCAGUUAGGUUCAAAUCUGAGCUAGAUAGGUACUUAGAGGAUGAGUUGGUCCCUAUUCAAACAGAAAACUUUCAGAUUCUUGAUUGGUGGAAGGUGGCUGGCACACGUUAUCCUGUAUUGAGGAAGGUAGCAAGAGAUAUAUGCAUUAGAAUCGGCAUUUGGCACUAGUGGAAGGGUUGUUAGUGAGCACUAUAGCCGCCUCACUCCAGAAAUAUUGGAGGCCUUAAUGUGUUCACAAAGUUGGCUGCGAAACAAAUAUCGAGGUGAUGAGAAGGAAGAACCAUCAAGCUCUUGGAGUUGUCUUCAAAAAAUCCAAGAUGGGAUGGAGGGACUUGCACUUCUAUUAAGAUGUGAAGGUUUGGACUGCUCCCAGGAGGACUGUUCAGUGUUGUUUUGCAUUCUCAGUUCUCACUUUUUAGUUAUUUAGUGCUUGUUGUAUCCUAUGUCAAUGUGCAAGUGCCACUACCAUGAACCUGUAAAUUUAAUGCUAUGCUUUUGUGUUGUUGGAUGUUGUUGUAUGCUUUUGUGCUAGUAGCUUGGACUUAGAUGGCUGUGUGGGGGGAUAGACCCCUAUACCCUUACGGCUAGACUUGGGCCAGGAGG